rnacentral:rRNA from 2 species
ACAUGCAGUCGAGCGGACAGAUGGGAGCUUGCUCCCUGAAGUCAGCGGCGGACGGGUGAGUAACACGUGGGCAACCUGCCUGUAAGACUGGGAUAACUUCGGGAAACCGGAGCUAAUACCGGAUAACACCGAGGACCACAUGGUCCUUGGUUGAAAGAUGGUUUCGGCUAUCACUUACAGAUGGGCCCGCGGCGCAUUAGCUAGUUGGUGAGGUAACGGCUCACCAAGGCGACGAUGCGUAGCCGACCUGAGAGGGUGAUCGGCCACACUGGGACUGAGACACGGCCCAGACUCCUACGGGAGGCAGCAGUAGGGAAUCUUCCGCAAUGGACGAAAGUCUGACGGAGCAACGCCGCGUGAGCGAUGAAGGCCUUCGGGUCGUAAAGCUCUGUUGUUAGGGAAGAACAAGUACCAGAGUAACUGCUGGUACCUUGACGGUACCUAACCAGAAAGCCACGGCUAACUACGUGCCAGCAGCCGCGGUAAUACGUAGGUGGCAAGCGUUGUCCGGAAUUAUUGGGCGUAAAGCGCGCGCAGGCGGUUCCUUAAGUCUGAUGUGAAAGCCCACGGCUCAACCGUGGAGGGUCAUUGGAAACUGGGGAACUUGAGUGCAGAAGAGGAAAGCGGAAUUCCACGUGUAGCGGUGAAAUGCGUAGAGAUGUGGAGGAACACCAGUGGCGAAGGCGGCUUUCUGGUCUGUAACUGACGCUGAGGC